CUGGUGCUGACAGCCUUGAAGGAAAAGUGACAGAAAUGGCCAUUCACACUGUGGCUGUCCUUCUGUGUGGACAGAGUGAAGUCUUGGUGCCCCUGAGGAACUUGGCCUUCUCCCCUGCCAGCAUGGCAGUAAGUUGCACUAGGAUAACUUUGUUUUUGCAGUGAAACUUUAGUGGUUUUUCAUGUUGAGACCUGGCCUAUGCCUGUGGGAACUCUCAAAUCUGUCCACCUUCUAGAUUCUCUGCCCCGUUGCCCCAUUUGAUCCUUCAGUACAGUCCUGGUGAAAACGUGCCCUGCAUUUUGCCGUUUCACAC
rnacentral:lncRNA from 1 species